GACGGGAUAGUCUAGUGGUUAUGACGUCUGCCUUACACGCAGAGGCCGCGAGUUCAAUCCUCGCUCCUGGUA
rnacentral:tRNA from 1 species